GACAGAGGCCCCGAGCGUUAGGCGGAAUCACUGGGCUUAAAGCGUGUGUAGGCGGGCCCGUAAGUGUCUUGUGAAAUCCCACGGCUCAACCGUGGAACUGCUGGGCAUACUGCGGGUCUUGGGCCAACUAGGGGCGAGCGGAACAGACGGUGGAGCGGUGAAAUGCGUAGAUAUCGUCUGGAACGCCGAAGGUGAAAACAGCUCGCUGGGGCCGCGCUGACGCUGAGACACGAAAGCCAGGGGAGCGAACGGG
rnacentral:rRNA from 1 species